UUCCUUGGUCAGCUCAGCUUCUUCUUGACCGGUGUACAGGGAACGUUCAUGUAUAGGCAAGCAAAAAUCCCCAUUUCUUUCUACAGAGCCUCAAGGCCCCAAAUUCCCCAAUCUAUUAGUAGCUAUGCUGCCAGCCAACAUCAUGCCCUCGGCCAGCAGCGAUGACGGCUGCAGCGGCGACGGUGACGGGGGCAACUACAGCAGCAGUGGCGUCGACGGCGGCAGCGGCGCCGACGCCGACGCCAGCGACGGUGGCGGGUUCAAUCCAAGACCACCGAGAACAAGCAGCGUUGUCAUCGCCCACUACGCUAGCAUAGCAUGAGCGUAUCAAUCACGGUCAAGCUGCAGCAAGCUCAAGAUGUUGGAGCUUGUAGGUACCUAUUGUGUUUAAUACUAACUUGCCCAAUAAAGUGGAUCCACUCGACCUGCUAUUAGCAUUUGUUUGGUGAUGACUCCAUACAUAUGUUCUUUUGUUGCUUUGCUCUAGAUAUGCCAGCAUAAAUAUGUAUUUACAAGUUACAACCACAAAUCUCUGUAGUGCAUAAUUCAGUAACAGUAACCUGCAAAUAUAAAUCGUUUUAGCACUAAAUAGAAAUGAAUAGACAAGAAAUUCAACUAAACAUAUAGUGAAAAUCAUUGUCAAAUUGUUGGAUUGGCUGCCCAUGAUGCCAUCCUUCAUUUUCUGGAGUCAUUAACGCAGGAGCAUGAACUGAACUAUGUAUCGAUGCAUGUAAAGCCGCAUUGUACUCUGAUAUGUGUAAAAAGGAUUGGUUAUUGGGAACCUCAAAAUGACCCUGUUACAAGAAAAUUUAAUGGAAAAAGGUCAGCGGCAAUAAUCAAACCAUGCAGUUUUUUCUGAUUAAAUUAUGUGUUGAAUAUACCAUUACUGUAGUAUGUUGUUCCGGCUGCAUCUCCAUCAUUGGUUGAGGUUGUAGUGAAGUGGUUGAGACAUCCUCGUUCGUCUUCUUCUUCUUUCUCCGUGAUUGUGCUUUAUCUAUGCCACUAAUAGGUCUUGCUGACCCACGUAUUUGUUUUUUCUUGAGCUUAAUGCCUACUGGCUUACUAGGCUUCUGAAUUUCUUUUGUAACUACACAAAUAAAUUUGGCAUGCAUAGUCAGAUUAGGAUAGGACAAAUAAUUACUAUAUGGAACUGAUAUACAAACCUUGUGGAGAAAAGGAGCUCUCUAAGUCUGGAUCACAUCUAAUUUUCAAGCAUUUCUCUAUAUCUUCUGCCAAUUUUUCUGCACAACUAGCAGAUAUGGAAUAUGUUUCUUCAGAUUUUGCAGCUCGAGAAGCAAUUCUAACAAACAUUCUGCAUAGUGAGGAGUACCGGUCUGAUAAUUUUAUUCUAGGAUCAUCAUGCAUAUUGUACCUUCAAUGCAUGAGAGCACAGAAUGCCAACAAAUUCAAACUUCUUGCAGCUGCAUUUGACACUAGACUCCAAUGGCUAGCAAAUGGAUCAUGGGGUUCGUGAGAUCUGGAAAUGACUCUGUUAUGGAAGAAUCGUGGUGUUGUCUUCCAUGGUGACAGGAUUUUGGAUGAUGCCAGGGGUUUGAUAUGAGAUAGAUUAGUUUUCCACGAUGGAUAUGUAUUGUACAAAGAAGGCAGCGGUGCCUGUAACUUUGUUUCCCGCCACCAAUUCUCUCUGUUUGGCGCCACAAUUAUGUUAGCUAAAUUAAUUGGUGUUUCCAUUUACCAUGGUAUUUCC